UGGGAUUUGCAAGAGACAAGAGGAGAGACGAAGCAGGUAUAGAGUGACUUUUGUGUUACAAGGAUGUUGUUGAAUAGACAUUCUGAAGAAUAUCUGGGUCC